rnacentral:tRNA from 1 species
GGGGCCGUAGCUCAGUUGGGAGAGCGCUUGCAUGCCAUGCAAGAGGUCGAGGGUUCGACCCCCUUCGGCUCCA